UGACGUUCCAAGUUAGCUGUCUCUCUUUCUGCCUCUGGCUUGUGGGUCGGAUGUAAGCUGUCAGCCUGGCUGCCUGCUACUGUGCUCAGCCAUGGUGGUUAUGGACUUACCCUCUGAAACUGUGGAGAUGUGUCUGGCAUGCAUUCUGGUCAUGCCAUGCUACCAGGCUGACCUUCCAAAUCCACAAGGAUCUGACUAUGAAGCUCUGGCUGUCCUACAACUCACAAUGUAGACCAGGCUGGCUGUGAACUCGACAGAGAUCCAUCUGAGGGCAUGUGCUACCACACCUGGCCUCCUUAAAGCAGUUUUUUUUUUUUUGACAAUUUCAUACGUUCAUCCUUCAUUAUGCUUUCUCAUCCUCUUUUCUCUAGACUGAAG
rnacentral:lncRNA from 1 species